AUUGAACGCUGGCGGCAGGCCUAACACAUGCAAGUCGAGCGGAUGAAGGGAGCUUGCUCCUGGAUUCAGCGGCGGACGGGUGAGUAAUGCCUAGGAAUCUGCCUGGUAGUGGGGGAUAACGUCCGGAAACGGGCGCUAAUACCGCAUACGUCCUGAGGGAGAAAGUGGGGGAUCUUCGGACCUCACGCUAUCAGAUGAGCCUAGGUCGGAUUAGCUAGUUGGUGGGGUAAAGGCCUACCAAGGCGACGUUCCGUCACUGGUCUGAGAGGAUGAUCAGUCACAUUGGGACGGAGACACGGUCCAGACUCCUACGGGAGGCAGCAGUGGGGAAUAUUGGGCAGUGGGCGAAAGCCUGAUCCAGCCGUGCCGCGUGUGUGAAGAAGGUCUUCGGAUUGUAAAGCACUUUAAGUUGGGAGGAAGGGCAGUAAGUUAAUACCUUGCUGUUUUGACGUUACCAACAGAAUAAGCACCGGCUAACUUCGUG
rnacentral:rRNA from 1 species